UACGUAGGGCGCAAGCGUUGUCCGGAAUUAUUGGGCGUAAAGAGCUCGUAGGCGGUCUGUCGCGUCUGCCGUGAAAACCCGAGGCUUAACCUCGUGGCUUGCGGUGGAUACGGGCAGACUAGAGGUAGGUAGGGGAGACUGGAAUUCCUGGUGUAGCGGUGAAAUGCGCAGAUAUCAGGAGGAACACCGGUGGCGAAGGCGGGUCUCUGGGCAACAACUGACGCUGAGGAGCGAAAGCGUGGGGAGCGAACAGG
rnacentral:rRNA from 1 species